rnacentral:sRNA from 1 species
UUUCGGAGAUAGUGGGUCGCCUUGCCUCU